UACGGAGGGUGCGAGCGUUAAUCGGAAUAACUGGGCGUAAAGGGUCCGCAGGCGGGCGUUUAAGUGAGAUGUGAAAUCCCCGGGCUUAACCUGAGAAUAGCAUUUGAGACUGGGAGUCUAGAGUACUUUAGGGAUGGAUAGAAUUCCACGUGUAGCGGUGAAAUGCGUAGAGAUGUGGAGGAAUACCGAUGGCGAAGGCAGCCCCUUGGGAAUGUACUGACGCUCAUGUGCGAAAGCGUGGGGAGCAAACAGG
rnacentral:rRNA from 1 species